AUAGUAGUGUCAGAGUUUGAUCCUGGCUCAGGAUGAACGCUGACAGAAUGCUUAACACAUGCAAGUCGAGGGGUAACAGGCGGUAGCAAUACUGUGCUGACGACCGGCGGAUGGGUGAGUAACGCGUAUGCAAUCUACCUUUUACCCGGGGAUAGCCCAUGGAAACGUGGAUUAAUACCCGAUGCAUUUCUUUUGUGGCCUCAUGAAGGGAAUAAAGAUUUAUCGGUAAGAGAUGAGCAUGCGUUCCAUUAGGAAGUUGGUAAGGUAACGGCUUACCAAUCCGAUGAUGGAUAGGGGUUCUGAGAGGAAGGUCCCCCACACUGGAAUUGAGAAACGGUCCAG
rnacentral:rRNA from 1 species